rnacentral:rRNA from 1 species
AGAGUUUGAUCAUGGCUCAGAAUAAACGCUGGCGGCGUGCCUAACACAUGCAAGUCGAGCGAGAAAAGGCUUCGGCCUGAUUAAAGCGGCAGACGGGUGAGUAACGCGUGGGAAUCUUCCCUUCAGUGAGGAAUAACUCUGAGAAAUUGGAGCUAAUACUGCAUACGUCCCACUGGGAGAAAGGCGGCUUUAUGCUGUCGCUGAAGGACGAGCCUGCGUACUAUCAGCUAGUUGGUGAGGUAAUGGCUCACCAAGGCUAUGACGGUUAGCCGGCCUGAGAGGGUGUACGGCCACACUGGAACUUAGACACGGUCCAGACUCCUACGGGAGGCAGCAGUGAGGAAUCUUGCACAAUGGGCGAAAGCCUGAUGCAGCGACGCCGCGUGGAGGAUGAAGGUCUUCGGAUUGUAAACUUCUGUUAAGUGGGAAGAAACGCGUAGGUAUAAUACACCUACGUAAUGACGGUACCAUUAAAGAAAGCACCGGCUAACUUCGUGCCAGCAGCCGCGGUAAUACGAAGGGUGCAAGCGUUAUUCGGAAUUAUUGGGCGUAAAGGGUGCGCAGGCGGUAUGCUAAGUCAGCUGUUUAAUUUCCCGGCCUAACUGGGAGUCAGCGGCAGAUACUGGCAUGCUUGAGGGUGGAAGAGAGAAGUGGAAUUCUCGGAGUAGCGGUAAAAUGCGUAGAUCUCGAGAGGAACACCAAUGGCGAAGGCAGCUUCUUGGUCCACACCUGACGCUCAUGCACGAAAGCGUGGGGAGCAAACAGGAUUAGAUACCCUGGUAGUCCACGCCGUAAACGAU